rnacentral:rRNA from 1 species
UACGGAGGGUGCGAGCGUUGUCCGGAAUCACUGGGCGUAAAGGGCGCGUAGGCGGCCUGAUAAGUAGGGGGUGAAAUCCUGCGGCUUAACCGCAGGGCUGCCUUCUAAACUGUCAGGCUGGAGCACAGUAGAGGCAGGUGGAAUUCCCGGUGUAGCGGUGGAAUGCGUAGAGAUCGGGAAGAACAUCAGUGGCGAAGGCGGCCUGCUGGGCUGUUGCUGACGCUGAGGCGCGACAGCGUGGGGAUCAAACAGG